rnacentral:rRNA from 1 species
UACGUAGGGUGCGAGCGUUAAUCGGAAUUACUGGGCGUAAAGCGUGUGUAGGCGGCUACGCAAGUCGGAUGUGAAAGCCCCGGGCUCAACCCGGGAAGUGCACCCGAAACUGCGUGGCUCGAGUACCGGAGAGGUUGGUGGAAUUCUCGGUGUAGAGGUGAAAUUCGUAGAUAUCGAGAGGAACACCGGUGGCGAAGGCGGCCAACUGGACGAGUACUGACGCUGAGACACGAAAGCGUGGGGAGCAAACAGG